rnacentral:lncRNA from 1 species
UAUAUAUAUAUAGUGUGUACCAUGCACACAGUUAUAUAGACCUCCGCCUGGCAAAUGUGGUUUCUAGUAUUGUCCCUUCUUGGAACUCCACCUUCACAGUGAGCUCUGCAAUUCUCUUUUAUUCCAAACUAAAAUAGUUUACACAUAAACCCAACUAUUAACCAAAGAAUCAUUCAUUAAGGCAUUUACCAACAUGGUAUCAUCAUACCAGCUAUGCUUGCAAGCUUAUAUAAUUAUGCCAACUAAUCCAAUUAACCAUUAGACUCUCAAGUUCCAUUUAAUUUCCAAAACCAUGG